AAAACAAACCGGAAGUGACGCGAAACAACACGCGCACCAGUAAACCCACAGAAGAAGAAUCAAGACGACGCGCAAAACUUUUGUUUGUAUAUAUAGACUUCAGACAGAAAUUAGUGCUGCAAACCGUUUGCGCGAUGCAAAGCCGCAAAAGAAAAAAAUGAAGAGAUGUGUAUGUGGAGAGGUGGAUCAACACCACACGCGGACAGCAGGGAUUUAAGAGUUGGAGAAUAGGACAGGCUUCGCAAAGCAUGACUUGGAGAGCGUUUGUCUUUGACCCUGCGAUUCUAUGCAACAGGUGACACGUUCAAGUCCCUCAGGUUCAAGUCCAGGAUGGGGGACCAGCACCAUCCCACAAAUAGUUUUGGAUACCUGUUCUGUUCUGUACCCGGUUAUAAAGGACGAUUUCUUGAAGGUAGGGUUAUUACAAAAUA